AGGAUAAACGCUGGCGGCGUGCCUAAUACAUGCUGACGAGCGGCGAACGGGUGAGUAAUGCUUUGGAAUCUUCCCAGUAGUGGGGAAUAACCAGUCGAAAGAUUGGCUAAUACCGCAUACGUCUGUAAAGGGAAAGCGGGGGCUCGUAAGACCUCGCGCUAUUGGAUGAGCCAAAGUCGGAUUAGCUAGUUGGUGGGGUAAUGGCCUACCAAGGCGACAAUCCGUAGCUGGUCUGAGAGGACGACCAGCCACACCGGAACUGAGACACGGUCCGGACUCCUACGGGAGGCAGCAGUGGGGAAUAUUGGACAAUGGGGGAACCCUGAUCCAGCGACGCCGCGUGUGUGAAGAAGGCCUGCGGGUUGUAAAGCACUUUUAGUGGGGACAAAAAGCUACGGAUUAAUACUCUGUGGUCUUGAUUUAACCCAAAGAAAACGCACCGGCUAACUCUGUGCCAGCAGCCGC
rnacentral:rRNA from 1 species